CCUACGGGAGGCAGCAGUGGGGAAUUUUGGACAAUGGGCGCAAGCCUGAUCCAGCCAUGCCGCGUGAGUGAAGAAGGCCUUCGGGUUGUAAAGCUCUUUCGGCAGGAACGAAAUGGUUCGUGUUAAUACCACGGACUGAUGACGGUACCUGAAGAAGAAGCACCGGCUAACUACGUGCCAGCAGCCGCGGUAAUACGUAGGGUGCAGGCGUUAAUCGGAAUUACUGGGCGUAAAGCGUGCGCAGGCGGUUUCUUAAGUCAGAUGUGAAAGCCCCGGGCUUAACCUGGGAACUGCGUUUGAAACUGGGAGACUUGAGUGUGGCAGAGGGGGGUGGAAUUCCACGUGUAGCAGUGAAAUGCGUAGAUAUGUGGAGGAACACCGAUGGCGAAGGCAGCCCCCUGGGUUAACACUGACGCUCAUGCACGAAAGCGUGGGGAGCAAACAGGAUUAGAUACCCUGGUAGUCCACGCCCUAAACUAUGUCAACUGGUUGUCGGGGGAUUGAUUCCCUUGGUAACGAAGCUAACGCGUGAAGUUGACCGCCUGGGGAGUACGGCCGCAAGGUUAAAACUCAAAGNGUAGUAGACGNGNGAGUGCGACGAGCACAGGAGGUAG
rnacentral:rRNA from 1 species